rnacentral:tRNA from 1 species
GUAAAUAUAGUUUAACAAAAACAUUAGAUUGUGAUUCUAAAAACAGAAGUUAAAACCUUCUUAUCUACC